rnacentral:lncRNA from 1 species
GGAGAACGUAGUAAACCAAAGGCCAAGCUGAUGCCAAGCUUCAGUGUAGAACUUUGAGCAGGUGCCAGGUAAUUUGCAUUUACAAAUCCAAACAUUUUAAAACUUGAGUUGGACAACAUUGUCAUGUUAAUUAUGUCCCACGACACCAGUUUGUCUGGUAAAACAGCUGUUAUAUGUCAUAGUAAUCUAAACUAAUUAUUAUUUACAAAAUAAUCAUGGUCGGUCAGUUUAUAUGCUUGUAAUAAUUUGGGAACAAACACCCAAGUCAAGGCAAAAUCCAAAAAACUAAUACAAACAUAUUGAUAACAACUGCAAGAAAGUAUUAAACAAAAGUGCUUUCAGAUAAUUGAUGGAUUCAAGCAAAGGCUACCCUUCAACAUGUUCAAAAGUUGAAUUGCCAUUAAUAUUGUACACAUACAAUGUACAUGUACAUGUUUGAUCAUCAUGUAGCAUGAACCAUCAAUGGCUUUUUAACUUGUCACAUUGACACAGACACUAAUCAACACUAAUUAAUUGAUACAUGUUUAUACUAGCAUGACUAUAGUAAAAUAUUUAUUUUGAUAAUAUCCAUCUAAAUAUCAUCUAAUAAUUUAAUCAGCAUUUCGUGUAUUUGAUUAAAGGUCAAAACUCUCAUGUACAUGAUGUAGGAUACAAAGAAACAUAAAUUAAGAGCAAACAAACAAUUGGCCGUUCCUACAUGUAUAUAUCUCAUUAUCUAGGAGUUUUUUCUGUUUAAUUUCUAUUGAAUGUAAGAAGAAGUUGAUACUUUACAUGUACAAAACAAUGUACAUGUACUUCCCAUUUUAAUCUGAUAUCUAUACUUAUUUUUUUUUAUACAAUAACUAAAAUUUAAAUACAGACUAAUCAUGCAAAUAUUCAACGACUGAGCGAAUAAGACACAAGUUCACCAAGGUGCAUUGUCCCUGAAAAAUGAAAAACAUUUUUGUAUUAAACAGAAAUUUAUAUUUUAUUUUUUAGAGAAACCUUCCUUGUUAAAGAUGUGACAUUAACCCCCCAAACCUACAAAACACAAUUGAUUAGGUAAGUUGCAGAUUAUCUGAGAUAUUUUUGAUUAUCAUCCCAAGAAAUGUAGCAUACAUGUAUUACUCUUCUUUCAUUUAUAUGAUCAUGAAGAUACAUAUGCAUGCACCUUGUAAUUUGUACAGUUGUAUAUAUGUAUUUCUGCCAUCUGUCACUGUUAAUUUAAAUGUACAUUAUGGGUAUGUAAUUAAUCAAAACAUGAUACAUGUAUUAAGACUAAUCAUGUGUAUUUUCAUUAACUAAUACACAGGUUUUUUUUUGUGUUCAGAUUGAUAGCAAUUUUGUUGUCAAUUGUUGUAGUGUCAUUGAAAAAUGAAUGAAAUAAAUGGUUGUACCUAAAAUUAUUUGAAACAUGUCUGAACUUAAAUUAGAUACAAUUUACAUUGUAUAUAACAUAUUUACAUUUGUACAUGAUCAUGAUCAAUGUAUCAAUGAUGACAAGGAACUUUAUAAAUUUCAGAGAUGCUAGUUAACCUUGUUAAUGACUGUGGAGAACUUAUGCUACAUUUACCUAAUACACAGACAAACACAGAUGGGCAAAGGUAAUAAAUAGAGCAGUUUUCUAAGAUACAUGUUCAUGUUAAUUGUUAUAUCAUGUAUAUUAUGCCUUGUCUUUAAAAAAAAUAGAUAUGAAACAUGAACACAUUAUGUACAUGUUCCAUGUUUACAUGUAUUAGAGAGUUAUCUAACCUGUUUAAAAUCUGAUAACUACUUAGAACUAUCAGAAUUUUAGUCUAUUUGUUUCUCUAUUUGUCCAUGAUUUAUCUUAUAAUGGAUAGAGUUGAAAAUUAAAUCUAUAAAGUUGGAUAAAAUAUUCCUAAUGCUUGCAUUGGUACAAAGCCAUUUUGAAAAUAAGAAGAUGUGGUAUGAUUGCCAAUAUGAAAACUCUCCCCAAUACAUGUACUUGACAUGACAUAUAAAGGAGCCACUUUAAGUCUCCAUACAACCUUACACAAAAAGACAAACCCAUACUACAUAAUCAGCUAUAAAUUUAAACAAUUCAAAGGAGAGGACUAAAUACAACUACUAAUUAGUUACAGCAUUAAAAUACAACUACUGAAUUACUAGUUCCUGACUUGGGACAGGCACAUACAGAAUGUGGCAGGGAUAAACUAGAUUGAACUUUAUUAAAAAUUUACCCAUUAUCAAACUAAAAAUGCCUAUUACUAAGUGAACUCAGAUUACUCUGCUGUUUACAUAUUUGUUAAACUAUAAUCUGCUUCUUGUAGAAAUUAGCCUGUGAGAUCAAGAUGCAGAUAUAUUCACCAGAUACCAAAUACCACACCAAAGCAGACAUUUUCAAAUGUUGAGGGACCUAUGAAUACAUCUACAUCC